UACGGGGGGGGCAAGCGUUGUUCGGAAUUACUGGGCGUAAAGCGUGCGCAGGCGGUCUUUUAAGUCAGAUGUGAAAUCCCCGGGCUUAACCUGGGAACUGCGUUUGAAACUGGAAGGCUAGAGUGUGGCAGAGGGGGGUGGAAUUCCACGUGUAGCAGUGAAAUGCGUAGAGAUGUGGAGGAACACCGAUGGCGAAGGCAGCCCCCUGGGCUAACACUGACGCUCAUGCACGAAAGCGUGGGGAGCAAACAGG
rnacentral:rRNA from 1 species